UCAUGCCCAGCACCCAGAUGCCUCUA
rnacentral:misc_RNA from 1 species